rfam:Myotis brandtii contig183705, whole genome shotgun sequence.
GGGCGUUCUCAGGUGACACACCAAAGGAUCAGGCUCCCUUCUCUCUGGGUCAGGGUGCGUUACCCGAGAACCACU